GGUCCCAGUUCGGAUGUAGGCUGCAACUCGCCUACAUGAAGUCGGAGUUGCUAGUAAUCGCGGAUCAGAAUGCCGCGGUGAAUGCGUUCCCGGGUCUUGUACACACCGCCCGUCACACCAUGGAAGUUGGGGCGCCCGAAGUUGGUCGAGGAAUAGAUUACCUAAGGCGAAACCAAUGACUGGGGUGAAGUCGUAACAAGGUAAC
rnacentral:rRNA from 1 species